AUUUCUGGAAUUUCCAUUUGGUAUUUUCAAAGCGACAGGAAGCGAAACUGCAGGAACUCGGUCAUGGAACGGCGGGGACCAUCCGGCCCGCGGGACACAGAAGGCCCAGAAACCAUUGGGCCUGGCCCUGCCCAGGCAUCAGGGAGAAGGAGACUGAUGCUUGGUGAGCUGCAUGAGCUUCCCACAUUAUUCAUGGAGUGGAACAAAUCUGGGAACCACUUGAAAUGACACAAUCUGAAGACCAUGACAGCUAUAUGUACACCUGUACACUUAGAGAAUGUGUUAGGAAGAGCAUGAAAAACACUGCUUUUCAAUGAGUCAAGAGAUCAUAUGCCUCAAUAUCAAGAUGAAGGACACAAAUACUAUUUCUUCCCUGGGCAGACUUCUCUACUUAUCAAGGUGGCUACUCAUCAUACACAGACGGGUGAUGUUGAGGACCAUGACGAUGGUGAAGGCCACGAGGCAGACCACCAUGUAGUAGACAC